rnacentral:rRNA from 1 species
AAAGGAAUAGACGGGGGCCCGCACAAGCGGUGGAGCAUGUGGUUUAAUUCGACGCAACGCGAAGAACCUUACCAAGGCUUGACAUCCCGCUGAAGAGGAAGAAAUUCCUCCGUGCCCUUCGGGGAAAGCGGAGACAGGUGGUGCAUGGUUGUCGUCAGCUCGUGUCGUGAGAUGUUGGGUUAAGUCCCGCAACGAGCGCAACCCUUGCCCUCAGUAGCCAUCAUUAAGUUGGGGACUCUGAGGGGACUGCCGCGGAUAACGCGGAGGAAGGUGGGGACGAUGUCAAAUCAUCAUGCCCUUUAUGUCUUGGGCUACACACGUGCUACAAUGGGCGCGACAGAGCGAAGCGAAGCGGCAACGCGGAGCAAAGCGCAAAAAAGCGUCCUCAGUUCGGAUUAAGGGCUGCAACCCGCCCUUAUGAAGCCGGAAUCGCUAGUAAUCGCGAAUCAGAAUGUCGCGGUGAAUACGUUCCCGGGCCUUGUACACACCGCCCGU